CGGGACGGGUGAGUAAUGUCUGGGAAACUGCCCGAUGGAGGGGGAUAACUACUGGAAACGGUAGCUAAUACCGCAUAACGUCGCAAGACCAAAGAGGGGGACCUUCGGGCCUCUUGCCAUCGGAUGUGCCCAGAUGGGAUUAGCUGGUAGGUGGGGUAACGGCUCACCUAGGCGACGAUCCCUAGCUGGUCUGAGAGGAUGAUCAGCCACACUGGGACUGAGACACGGCCCAG
rnacentral:rRNA from 1 species